ACGGAGGUUUCCACACCCCCCCUCGGGCCUCAUGGGAGGAAGAGGGUCAAGCAGUUCUCCCCGGCGGAGCCGGGGGAAAUGUGGAGUGUCCCAUAAUGCACCAGUGGCCGGAAGACUCACGGACUCGGUUAGUCGUUCGCAGAGCGGCCGGUUAGCCGAGGAAUUAGGUAGGGUUUAGGCCGGGUCCGGAGGGAGGGUCCCGACCUCCAUGAGGCAGAGGCGGCCUCCCUCCGCACGGACUGCUCUGGAACGUCCAAGUCCCAAGCCCCUGGGAGUCCGACCCAGACCUACUGCACGUGUCUGACGAGAGAUCUGGUGGCCUUUAUGCCACAGCGGGAAGUAGGACGAGGUCUUGCAGCCAGGCUGAGGAAGAAGAUCCUGGGUGCUUUUCGGCGUAGAGUUCAAAUAUGACACAUCGUCUCCGCGGAGCCUUUGUUUUCUUAUCUGUAAAAAGGGAUUACAGUAGUAAUAUCUACUGCAUUGAAAGAUCCUGACAUCCUGCUCUGAGAGUAAAUGAGCUGGGCAGGAGGUAGGAGGGGGCCCCGGGGACCUCCAGGUCGCAAAGUCCUUAACCAUCAAAUACCCGCCCUUUUUGUUCACAGCCUUGCUGGGACAGACAAAGCUUUGCUGUCCACCCACGUCGCACCUCAGCAGUAAAAGGAAUAGUUCCCUUGUUCUUUGCCCCACCCACCCAAUUUUAGUGAUGACAACAAAAGGGAGGGACCAGCCUCAGGCACCUUGAGGAGCCCCCUGUCUUUCUUCUCAGCGCAGAAGGCAGGGCUGGGCACCCAGACAGCCCUCAGGCUACUGGAGGCUUUGCCUUGGAAUUGACAUCUCCAGGGGUAACCCUUGGUCAGCUGCUGAGCGAUGUUGGCAUAUGUAAGGCCCAGUUCCCUUGUUGUCUGACAAAGCUGAAACAUAACUUGCACCCAGAGCUCCGCUGUGAGAUCAAGCUGCCUGAGAUUACAAGUUUGCCUGGCUUCCUCUGCUUUCCUCUCCUGCUGCUCCCACUCCCUUACUGGUUUCUUCUGGUAACACUUUUUAAAUAAAUCAUUUGCACACAAA